AUACGUAGGGGGCAAGCGUUGUCCGGAUUUAUUGGGCGUAAAGGGCGCGUAGGCGGCCUCUUAAGUCAGUUGUGAAAGGUCCCGGCUCAACCGGGGAGUUGCAGCUGAAACUGGGAGGCUUGAGUGCAGGAGAGGAGAGCGGAAUUCUCGGUGUAGCGGUGGAAUGCGUAGAGAUCGGGAGGAACACCAGUGGCGAAGGCGGCUCUCUGGCCUGUUACUGACGCUGAGGCGCGAAAGCGUGGGGAGCGAACAGGAUUAGAUACCCUGGUAGUCCACGCCGUAAACGAUGAGUGCUAGGUGUUGGGGGCUUUGAUGCCCUCAGUGCCGAAGGCAACCCAAUAAGCACUCCGCCUGGGGAGUACGGCCGCAAGGCUGAA
rnacentral:rRNA from 1 species